rnacentral:lncRNA from 1 species
GUUGGACUAACCUAGUCAUGAGAUAGCCUCUACGAGCUUAUGCGUAGGAUAGCUGCCAUGAGCUGAUGCGUGGGAUAGCCUCCACGGGCUUACGCGUGGGAUAGCCUCUACGAGCUUAUGUGUAGGAUAGCCUCCACGGGCUUACGCGUGGGAUAGCUGCCACGAGCUUAUGCGUGGAAUUUGUGCAGUCUUGGACUGGGUCAUGAUCUUGGUUAGUCCAAAGCCAGAAGUGAAAAACUUUGAAACUUGGGAAUCAGAGUAAUAUGUGAAUGGAUCACAUAAUGUGAAAAAGGAUUUAUGUAU